CAGCCGCCGCGGUAAUACGAGGGGGGCAAGCGUUGUUCGGAAUUAUUGGGCGUAAAGGGUGCGUAGGCGGUCUGAUAAGUCUUAUGUGAAAUCUAUGGGCUCAACCCAUAGUCUGCAUAGGAAACUGUCAGGCUUGAGGAUGGGAGAGGUGAGUGGAAUUUCCGGUGUAGCGGUGAAAUGCGUAGAUAUCGGAAGGAACACCUGUGGCGAAAGCGGCUCACUGGACCAUUACUGACGCUGAUGCACGAAAGCUAGGGGAGCAAACAGGAUUAGAUACCCGAGUAGUCCCUGUCUCUUAUAC
rnacentral:rRNA from 1 species